ACGGAGGGUGCAAGCGUUAAUCGGAAUCACUGGGCGUAAAGCGCACGCAGGCGGUUUGUUAAGUCAGAUGUGAAAGCCCCGGGCUUAACCUGGGAACUGCAUUUGAUACUGGCGAACUAGAGUAUGGUAGAGAGAAGUGGAAUUCCGCAUGUAGCGGUGAAAUGCGUAGAGAUGCGGAGGAACAUCAGUGGCGAAGGCGACUUCUUGGACCAAUACUGACGCUCAGGUGCGAAAGCGUGGGUAGCAAACAGG
rnacentral:rRNA from 1 species